CCCGCCCGGCCCCUCGGAAGGGGAGGCCUGAGGGCUGGGCCGCCGAGAGGGGAGGAGGCCGUGUGCCGGCAGCGGUGGCUCCUGCGUAUUUCCUAGGCGGGGGCGGAGGUGGGGGCUGGUCCCGGCUCCGAGCAGCCCUCGCCGGCGGCCGCCUGUGCUCUGCCCCUCUCCGUGGCCCCGUGCGGUUAGGGCUCUGCAGUGAUCGGUGCCACAGCGGGUUAUAAAUAAACACCGAAAAGCCCCCGCUGCUUACACGUCGGAGGGUUGUGUAAGACUUUCGGCUUCCUUAAAAAAAAUAUCCAAAUGAAGCCAUUGUAAUCUUCCUCUGUGAGGGAAAAAAAACCCCAAAAAACAAAAACCAACUUCAGAAACUUUCAUACAAGAGCUCAGAAAUCGGCAAACGUAUAAAAUGACCCAAACUUGGAUCUGUCACACCUCAUGAUUGUUGAGCUAAAAUUGAUAACUAGGGGCCCUCUGACGUGAACGCGGUUGGGACAGCUUGUAAUCCAGCGGUCACCUGCUUUACAGGCACAAUACAAGUGUAAAUGUGUACUACUAAACACGCGGUGGGAUUUGAGUACAAUACACAUAAUGUGAAUUACAGUCAAGGUCGCAGCUAAUGGCUGUGGCAAGUUCAAUUCAACUGCAGCAACCCCCCUGGGAAACAGGAAAAGGUCUUAAGUUCCAUGUACUAAAUCUCACUCAUUUCUCUUCCGGGAGAUUAGGGCUUUGGUUUUGUUUUCAGAGGGAAGAUGUUGUAAAACAAAAACUGAAUUUUAAAGUGUUGGUGUUUUAAGCAUUUUUUUUGGUGAUUAUCUUUUCAACCGUAAUGGUUUGGCUUGAAUUUCUAAGUCUUUUAAAUUAAUUUUUUUUGGUUUCUAAAUGGUUGGACUCUGUUUACAAACACUUCAGCUCUUCUGUUCUGCUGGCUUCCUUUGGUCGAGGUGUGUUGUAUUUUAAUGUAUGAUUUAUGUAAGCAAAAAGAAAACCUUGUGGGUACUAACAUGUUACUAACUACAAAGGGUUCAAGUGUUUGUAGAACAAACUUAUUUGUGUAUAGCGUUUUUGUUUUUUUUUUUUUUUCAUUUGAAUGAACGGUCAAGUCAGGCUUUAGUGUGGGAGGAAUGGAGCAGCAGAAAGGAGCAUAGCAGAGGGAGAAGCCAGCAUGACUCUUCCUGAAGGCUUUUUGUCCUAUUGGUAUUGAAGAUAUUUGGCCAAAAUACAGUGACAAUGCACAAGUUUGGUGCAGAUGGCAAGAUAAAGAGUUUCACUUGAGCUAGAGCUAAUGAAGCAUCUACAGCCUUGUCUAAGUUAGUCAUUUGGAACAUGUUACUUGGAUAAACACAAAAGUGGAAAAUGAAGGCAGAGUGAAGCAGCUCAGGGAGCCACAACAAAGAAAAGAAGGAAGAGGAAUGUCAGAGGAUGGGUCUAAUCACAGAGAAAGGACAGCAGAAGAAGAGUGGAAGUGCAGGGGGAUCAAGUAGUAGGAAUGGGAGGCUGGGCUAGACCCAAGGCAAUGAAUAAUAGCAGAGUUGUGUAUGAAGCCAAUAAUUUUGUUUCUAAUACUUAUUUCUUCAGAAUUUGUCCUUGAACACAACUCUUCUUCAUGAGUAGCUUACUGUGACUGUAAGAGAAGAAGAGGACUAUCACCCUUCUAAAAGAGGCUUGGGAUAAUUACACAUGACACAGGUAACCACCUCCAGCUCUUACCAGACCCAGGGUUUCCACGUACCUGUCUUCAGCUGUAUUCCACAGGGAUCCCAUCACCUUUACAGACUAAGUUAAAACAUCUUCCAGCUGUCAGCGUUUUCAUUCCAGGUUUCAAGACACAAGAUAUCAGAACAUACUGGAAUGGUUUGUGUCUAUGACAGAUGACUGCCAGGAAGUACUUGCCUAUCCUACACUGGGUGAGAAAACCCUUAAUAUCAUCCUCUGUGUUCCUCAAGCAGUUUGUUCUCAGUAGAACAAUAAGCCUGUUGCAGACUCCUUUGAAGUCACCUAGCUCCAUUAGUGGUGCAAGGGACUCAAACACUCAGCUCUUAUUUUGUGGUAACCAUCUAGGGCUAUAAUAAAUUCAUGAGUAUCCUCCAUACAUGUUAAAGUAUUUUGGAUUUUUUUUUUCAAAGCAAACAAAGAGUUGCUCAGCUUGGGUCCAAAAAGGAAUAAUUUGUAUUUUGAAGUGGUUUAUUUAUUAAGAACAUGUCUCUACAGCCACCCCAGGCACCAAGAUAGUAAUUUUGGUUUUAAUAUUGUCAUAUAUGUGGCUGAAAGGUGCAGGAUAACCCCCAGGCCACGUUCUCUUCUUGAAGGGGUUCCUCUUGCUGUAGCACCUCAUGAUGAUAUUGCCUCUAGCGCACACAUUUCCAGUGGGAGAGUUCUCUCUUCCAAACUGUCUUGUUCUGUGAACCACACAACUGACCACAAACAACCUGAAAUCUUUCCAGCCAAUUUUCACUAUAGGCCAUUGCUCAGACAAUUCCAAAUGGAAAGGUGCAUAAAAAGAGCUUUGACAAGGGAAGUUAUGUGAUCUCAAACCUGUCUUCUCCUCUCUGUCUUGACACCCAUGCAAACACAUAAAGAAAUACACCCACCUCCCUUUAUCUCUGCUUUAUCUCCCUUAUGUGGGGUAAUUACCUG